UCCACUUUUAAGGACAUGACCUUGUAAUUUCAUUUUUUUAUCUUGUCCAAUUUGGAUCCUUGUAACCUACUUGACCUGUAAAUAUUUGCUGUUGGUGUUGGUUUAGAAUGAGUGGUUGAUUUGAACAAGCUUAAAAAGUUAUUGUGUGGACUUGUGUAUAGUCCUAGUUCUAUUUUCCUGUUACGCUCAUUUUUAAAAAAAGAUGGAACAUGUCAUUCCAAUUUAUUAAAUAAAUAAAACAACUUCAGAAUUUCAUGAUUAAGAAAAUAGUUCCUAUGUGAUGAAUUAGGUAUUUAUUUAUUUAUAUAUCUAUUUUAUUUAUUUAUUUUUUUGGGGGGGAAAUGUGUAGGGGUGCAGCUCUUCCAACUAAUACUCCAAGUAUUCCAUGUAUGGGGAUUGGCUGUUGGGUUCAAGUGUAGAGUCAGCUGCAUUGAGUGGCAUGGCUCUUGCCAAUCAUGUAAGCAAGAAUAUGAUUUUCAUUUGCUUAUUUGGUUUUAUUUUGUGCAUGUAACUAUAUAUUUCAUGGUUGAUAUAAAAAAAUAAAAUAAAUCUAAGACACUUCCGGUACAUGUGGGGAUUGGCUGUUGGGUUCAAGUGUAGAGUCAGCUGCAUUGAGUGGCAUGGCUCUUGCCAAUCAUGUAAGCAAGAAUAUGAUUUUCAUUAUUUGGUUUUAUUUUGUGCAUGUAACUAUAUAUUUCAUGGUUGAUAUAAAAAAAUAAAAUAAAUCUAAGACAACCAUUCUAUCCCUAUAUGGACAUCUAAAUAUAACUUCCGGUACAUGUGGGGAUUGGCUGUUGGGUUCAAGCGUAGAGUCAGCUGCAUUGAGUGGCAUGGCUCUUGCCAAUCAUGUAAGCAAGAAUAUGAUUUUCAUUUGCUUAUUUGGUUUUAUUUUGUGCAUGUAACUAUAUAUUUCAUGGUUGAUAUAAUAAAUAAAAUAAAUCUAGGACAACCAUUCUAUCCCUAUAUGGACAUCUAAAUAUAAUUUGUAGAUUGGCUUCAAUCAGAUUGAAAUAUCAGACAAGUUUCAACAACGUUAGCUUGAAGCUUGUUAUUCUUAUAUAAAUAACGUAAUUGGUCUGUGUAGAUUGCAGACUAUUUAGGAAGUGAUGGAGUUUGUCCUGAGGAAUUUGCUGUCGGUUUACACAAAGACUUUCAGUCGCUCGAAGGACAUGAUAUUGGACAAUUUCCAGGUUUGGAGUCCAUGGAAAAAGAGCAAGUUCAAGCAUAUCGGCUUACUUCUUGAAUCCCUAAGCAGGCCACGAAAAUUUCUAGAGUUUGUCAAGGUAUACUUCUAUUGAUACACUGUUUAUGGCUUUCUGUUUCACUUGGGCUACUGUCAUGUUAAUUCUCUUGGUUUUUAUAGCUAGGAUUAAGAAGUUUAUUCACAAAAUGCAGUUAUUGACAUAGUUGCUAAGCAAGCAUCCUGAAAUUCUUUUUGUGAUACCACAGAGAAGGUGAAAACAGGUAUGCUCGAGGGUGUUGAAGCUGCACUUAGCCGACCGAAAGGUUCACUUCAGAAGCCCAUUUAUUCUCGAGUCCGGUUAUGGUAAGACUGCACUUUUAAGGACAUGACCUUGCAAUUUCAUUUUUUUAUCAUGUCCAAUUUGGAUCCUUGUAACCUACUUGACCUAUAACUAUUUGCUGUUGGUGUUGGUUUAGAAUGAGUGGUUGAUUUGGACAAGCUUGACAAGUUAUUGUGUGGACUUGUGUAUAGUCCUAGUUCUAUUUUCCUGUUAUGCUCAUUUGAAAAAAACACGGAACAUGUCAUUCCAGUUUAUUAAAUAUAUAAAACAACUUGAGAAUUUCAUAAUUAAGAAAAUAGUUCCUCUGUGAUGAAUUAGGUAUUUGUUUAUUUAUAUAUCUAUUUUUUUUUU
rnacentral:lncRNA from 1 species